rnacentral:ncRNA from 2 species
UAGUUGGUGGAGCGAUUUGUC